rnacentral:rRNA from 1 species
UACACACCGCCCGUCACACCAUGGGAGUUGGUUUCACCCGAAGGCGCUACGCUAACCCGCAAGGGAGGCAGCCAACCACGGUGGGAUCAGCGACUGGGGUG